rnacentral:rRNA from 1 species
UCAGGAUGAACGCUAGCUACAGGCUUAACACAUGCAAGUCGAGGGGCAGCAUGUUGGUUGCUGCAACCAAUGAUGGCGACCGGCGCACGGGUGAGUAACGCGUAUCCAACCUUCCCCUUAGUAGAGGAUAGCCCGGCGAAAGUCGGAUUAAUACUCUAUGUUCUUCAAUGCGGGCAUCUAAGUUGAAGCAAAGAUUUAUCGCUAAGGGAUGGGGAUGCGUCUGAUUAGGUUGCAGGCGGGGUAACGGCCCACCUGGCCUACGAUCAGUAGGGGUUCUGAGAGGAAGGUCCCCCACACUGGUACUGAGACACGGACCAGACUCCUACGGGAGGCAGCAGUGAGGAAUAUUGGUCAAUGGGCGCGAGCCUGAACCAGCCAAGUAGCGUGCAAGGACGACUGCCCUAUGGGUUGUAAACUGCUUUUAUCAGGGAAUAAAGUGAGGCACGCGUGCCUUUUUGUAUGUACCUGAUGAAUAAGGACCGGCUAAUUCCGUGCCAGCCGCCGC